rnacentral:rRNA from 1 species
UACGUAGGGGGCAAGCGUUGUCCGGAUUUAUUGGGCGUAAAGAGCGUGUAGGCGGCCUGACAGGUCUGCUGUGAAAACUCGAGGCUCAACCUCGAGAUGUCGGCGGAACCGUCUGGCUAGAGUCCGGAAGAGGAGAGUGGAAUUCCUGGUGUAGCGGUGAAAUGCGCAGAUAUCAGGAAGAACACCUGUGGCGAAAGCGGCUCACUGGACCAUACUGACGCUGAUGCACGAAAGCUAGGGGAGCAAACAGGA